UUCGCAAUGCCCGAAAGGGUGACGAAGCGACGCCGCGUGGGUGAGGAAGGCCUUCGGGUUGUAAAGCCCUGUCAGGAGUUAAGAAAUGUAAGUGUGCUAAUAUCGCAUUUACUUGACGAAGGCUCCAAAGGAAGUCACGGCUAACUCUGUGCCAGCAGCCGCGGUAAUACAGAGGUGGCAAGCGUUGUUCGGAAUUAUUGGGCGUAAAGAGCACGUAGGUGGGUUUGUAAGUCAGAUGUGAAAGCCUUCUGUUCAACAGAAGAAUUGCGUCUGAAACUGCGAGUCUUGAGUGUAGGAGGGGAGAAUGGAACUUCUGGUGGAGCGGUGAAAUGCGUAGAUAUCAGAAGGAACGCCGGCGGCGAAAGCGAUUCUCUGGCCUAUUACUGACACUCAGUGUGCGAAAGCUAGGGGAGCAAACGGGAUUAGAUACCCCGGUAGUCCUAGCUGUAAACGAUGGGCACUAAGUAGAGGGGUUUU
rnacentral:rRNA from 2 species